ACUAUAUGCAGGCUUUAUGUUCCAGAGGGAUGAGCGUCCAUCACAGAAGCUAGGCACGGCUUCAGGUAGCUAUGGCCACAGUGCAAGAAGCUGAGAAUUCACGUGCUUAAGUGUAAGCACGAAGCAGGGAAACCAAACUGGAAGUAGGUGAGGCUUUCAGCUCUCAGAGCCCCCUCCAAGGAAGUACUUUCUUCAGUGAGGCCACGCCUCCUUAACCUCUCCAAACACCAACUGGGAUCAAGCAUGCAAAUACCAGAGCCUAUGGAGACAUUUUCUCAUUUAAAUCACCACAGAAGCAAUGAACAGAUUCUAGACCUUCGUAAUCAGAGGUCAGGAUAGUGAAGAGGACAGAGGUCAGGAUAGUGAAGAGGACAGUGCGGGAUCAUUUCAAGAAAAAGGUUUAUGCCAAACACCCAGGAAGGGGUAGAGAAUCUUCCCGCAUUUCUCCUGAUGGGCAAUGAAACAACAUGGCUUCCAACUGGGAACAUUUACUGAAAACCCAAAACAAAAGAAGUGAAUGGCAGAAGACAUACAUAACCCCCUGGGCUGUGAUCUCUAAAUUCCACAUUCAGAAGCCUUGACUGUGGACAUUGAGGGAGUGAAGAAAGCAUUGACACAGAAAAAGCAAUACAGCGGGGUCAGGUGGGGCUUUCUAAUGGCUACUACAGCAGCUAUCUGGAACAUAGUGUGUUUAUUAGGUAUGGCCUGGAGUAGGUGUGGCCUUGUUGGAAUGGGCGUGUCACUGUGGGCCUGGGCUUUAGGACCCUCAUUCUAGCUGCCUGGAAGUCAGUCUUCUCCUAGCAGCCUUCAGAUGAAGAUGUAGAACUCACAGCUCCUUCUGCACCAUGUCUGCCUGGACUCUGCCAUGCUCCUGCC
rnacentral:lncRNA from 1 species